GACGAACGCUGGCGGCGUGCUUAACACAUGCAAGUCGAACGGAAAGGCCCUGCUUGCAGGGUGCUCGAGUGGCGAACGGGUGAGUAACACGUGGGUGAUCUGCCCCUUACUUUGGGAUAAGCCUGGGAAACUGGGUCUAAUACUGGAUAGGACCAUGCUGUAGGUGGUGUGGUGGAAAGAUUAGUUUCGGUAAGGGAUGAGCUCGCGGCCUAUCAGCUUGUUGGUGGGGUAAUGGCCUACCAAGGCGUCGACGGGUAGCCGGCCUGAGAGGGUGGACGGCCACAUUGGGACUGAGAGACGGCCCAGACUCCUACGGGAGGCAGCAGUGGGGAAUAUUGCACAAUGGGCGCAAGCCUGAUGCAGCGACGCCGCGUGGGGGAUGACGGCCUUCGGGUUGUAAACUCCUUUCAGCCAUGACGAAGCCUUCGGGUGACGGUAGUGGUAGAAGAAGCACCGGCUAACUACGUG
rnacentral:rRNA from 1 species